UNUAGGCAAUUCCUAACAAUAGGAACCUCUA
rnacentral:piRNA from 1 species